AAAUUUCUAGGCUCCCAUGAUCUAUUGAUCACAUAGCCAUUACGUACCCAUAGAUCACAUAUCUAUUACGUGAUCCCAUAAUCUAUUAAUAGGACAUUACUGCAUCUCUCUGGCAGCCCGAGCUGAUUUCAUUGCUAUUAGAGUAUUUCAAAGCUCUGAGCAGCUUUAAAUGGUUGCCACCACUAAAAAAUAAAUACACAUAUUUUCCUUCCAAGUGUGUCCUCUCUGACACAGAUUUUCCCUGGCCUUAAUUUUGAGUUACACUUACUUUGAAACCAAGUAAGGCAGGAUAGCUGAAGGUGUGACACCUUCGAGGUAUGGCAGACUUGGGAGAGAAAAGGAGAGUUUAUAUGGGAUCUCAGUCUGACCCACUGGAGUUUGUAGUUGCUCAGGGGCUGGAUGUGAGCAGCCCACAUAAUAUUUUGGAGUAGUUGUCCUGCACGAGGAUGUUUACCUCAUGGAAAUCUUGCUUCUUUAAAGAACAACUUUUCUUCUGAAUAUUUUUUUUUCUCUUUACCAGUCCCAACUAGGUGAACCUAGCUACAACAUAAAUAUACUAUCAGUUUCAAGGGUUUGUGACUUAGCCACCAGGGAAUUCUUCCUGCACAUCAUUUGAUAAGGAUUUAAUGCAUUUUUUUGAUCUUUGGUAGAAUUAUGUCUUCGUGCCCUUGAUUAUUAUAGAUGAGUUUGUUUUCUGCCUCUUUCCUCAACACAGUUCAAAGCAAGAAAUUUAAAGUUCUGUGGUUGUGUUUUGAAGGCAAUUUAUUUGUUGAGAAGCAUUCUGAACCCUACAGGAGGGAUUUGGGUCUACCAGGAAAAAAUAACGGAGCUCAUUUUCCUGCUGUUUAACUUAUUUGAUACUUCAUUUACAUCCAUCCCUAUUGAAUAUGGCUUUUUCUCACCGAAAGCCAUAGUUCAGAAAUCAGACACUGUGUAUGCUUCAUCACACAAGGUACCAAGCUGCAGGCAGCAGACAACCAUGCGCCAGCCCUCACGCCUCUCACCUCUAUCCCCAGGAGGGAGCAUCAGACCUAAAAUUCGCCUAUUUUUCUCCAUGGACACAACGCUGACCGCACUCCCAAAGGUCAGUGGUGAUGCCUGGCCCGAGGGAAGUCAGGAGGGACUUUUCCACCGUCCUUCCUCAGCAGGUACCAGGAGGGAUGGGCUGCAACAUUGCCUUUCCACGGCAGCGGUGUGGUGUUCGUGCCACUGCAGCAGCUCACGGGAGAUUAUCAGCCCACGGCAUGAGUCAGGCAAGCCGCCGAUAACACCUGUCCCUCCUGCCUCUUACGGGACAUUAGUUAAGUCCUUAUCUGCAAGCUGUCACCUCCUGGGCCCGAUCCCACCGCGCACACAAAGGCAAAUCUUCCACCAAGUUCUCGCUGCGGAAAGGCUGCAUGAUUGGCAUCUUAAAACAAACACCCUGGAAGAAAUAAGCUUCACGCUUUCUGCCAGCGGAUUACUUUAAGAUCUUUGAUAUGUUUAUAUAGCAAAGCGUUGGACAUUAUCUGGGGUUUCUCUGCAAAUGUUUCCUUCCCUGAGACUGGCAUCUACCCAGACCUUUCGGUAGCUCUGUGCUGAGCUCCUGAAGGGGGCUAGAAGAGCUCCUCAACCCAUCAACCAACAGCACUAAUCAGGUUUUCAUCCUAAAGGGAGUUUGGGAUCCUAAAGGGAAUUUCCUUCUGUGGUUAGAACGAGUGCUACAUGAAAUAUCUCUCAUUGCUCAACACCACUGUACAUUAGCCCACAAAAUAAAUCUCAAGUUUUUCACAUUUGUUGAAAUGAAUAACCAUAAAAGAUAAAAAGUCAGAAGCGGAGCAACAAGGAAACUCCAGUUCGUGGAUUUCUGGGGGGUCGUCUUCGGCGAUAUUGCUCCUUCAAGCUGUGCAAGGGAUGCUCAGCAGAGGAGAGGACCCAGGAGCAGUGCUGGUCUCACACCACCACCUAGGCAAAGCGCGCUUCAUGCUUUUCACUGCAACUCUGUUUUUUAGGAGUGUUUAUGGAAACCAUAGGAAUGAGCAAUAUUCUCCUUCCUUAUCAUGAGGCUUGCUGUUUGCCUUGCUUCACAACAGCUGCUGGUGCCCUUGGCUUCUCUCACAGAGCUUCUUUUCUAGCUCAAGUAGGAAAUCCCUGUGGUUUUGAAGCUAAAAGGUCAAUGCUUUGAGUGGGUGUGGGAGGGAACUAACCAGGCUUUGUGUAGAUGUAGGUCUGCUGUAAAACAUGCCCGAGAAUUUUGUUUCCCACAAAGCAAGCAGGAGGCUGUUGUGCAGACCUUGUGCUGCAGCUUGGAGGUGGGCAGCGCGUGGGUGCUGCUCGCCUGUGCUGGGCACAGGCUGGGGCUGGGUUUUCCCUUUCUCUUUCAGGGAGAGACCUGUUUUGGAAGCAGUCAGCCACGCCAGGCUUCACAGGGGAGCUGAGAAAAGCUACUGCUGGGAAAACAAACUAGCCAAACCUAACUGCGGAGAACCUGUCACUGCCAUGACCCAGAGAGGGGAAGAAACUUCUGAAAUGGGCCUGAGAAAUCUGGAAGAUCUGGCUCAAGAUGUAGCUGUUGAUAGGACUCUUUAUGGUUCCCAUCUGCUCUCUCAUUAGAGAAGCCAUGAAGGUCUUCCUCUCAGGUCUAGAGGAGCAUCUUAGCUCCUCUCCAGCAGUGAUGAAGAACACCAUGGCAGAUGAAGUGACACCUGAAUGAAUCCUCGGAGUCCCAAAUACCCAGUGGCUGGGAGUCUGCUGGACAUAAAUGCUUGUCUUUUUGUUGUGACCAUGGAGGUUGGCAUAUAGGGCUCCAUUGUGAGCCAUUUCCUUCUACACAUGGUGCAGGCUCCAGCUCUCAGCAGCAUGAGGUUUGUGUUGGGUAGCCCAUUGGCUUGGAAAGAUGGAUGAUAGGUCGGGUCUGCUGGAUACCACUGUCCUAGGACAUGACAAGGCUAUGACAUGAGCCCUCAUGAUGCAAACAGCUCUCAUUCUCUGUGCGUAAGACUGAAGAUGACAAGCGGUGAUGGAGAAGAAGGGUCUUUGGAUCUUUGGUUACUGUAUCUACACUAGUAUGGGGAUUCAACAUCAUAUGAGAAGGCAGUGAACUCCUGAGAGAGAGUAUACUUCAUCAUUAAUUGCAAAAUGUGUGAUGUUAGUUUGGUCCCUCUGCUGAUGGAUUCAGUGACUAAGCUUCUGUUGAUUUCUGUGCUCAGGAGUGCAGCUCCUGAAGUCUUAUGAAAAUGAGCACCAAGUCAGAUCAUGUAAGAAACCUGUUUAGAAUUGGACCAUGCAUUAUGAAGCUGGAAAGAUUGUUUUUUAUUUGAGUGAGAUACCGUAUCCAGCUGUCUACAAAGUUUUUUCUUUAUGAUCAGAGCGAUCUCAUUUUUCUCAACACCUGUACAUUUGUUAUUGGUUGAAAUCCUCCUAGAGUUUCCUCCAUCCUCAAGUCAUGUCCUAACUGAAAUAAA